UCAUCUACCAGUAAGAGCUUUGGGCCAUAAAUCAGGAAACCAAGGCUUCCUGUUUCUGUCCUCCCACCAGCUGUGGGGCAUUCAGCAAGUCAUAUCACCUCUUGGGGCCUUAUCGGGGUUUGACUCUAUUUUCUCCAAAGUCCCUUCCAGUAUCAAUAUGAGGAGAUCAGAGCAGAUCAUCCUAAAAUUCUUCCUCAAUUCUGGAAGUCAGUCAUCCUCUGUCAGAGUUCUGGGAACACAGCAGGGGUGGCUCUGCCUGGGGAAAGCCGUGGCUGGUGGCUGCCAUGUCUGCCCCCUCUCAGGAAGGUUUGAAAUCCACAGCCUCAGGAAUGCUGGGCAUUCUGCUGAGGGCUCCUUUCCUUUUCCUGGUCAGGUUUCUCAGUCUCUGUUCUCCCAAUCUAGACUAGACAGUCACAUCCAUCAUCAAUCCCAUGGGAGGCCAGGGGUGACUGUGGAAACCAGAAACUGAGCUGUGACUCUUGUUCCUCAUCCUCGUGACAGGCCGGUCACUCUCCUCCAGUUGGGCCUGCCUAACCUGGCAAGCAUUGGGGUCCCUCUGGGUGGUGUGCAUGGGGACAGAUUCCUGCCUAUCCAGUGACCCCAAGAACAGGUGCUGCUCAGUGGGUGGAUGUCACCUCUGUCCCUGGAGUAUCUGGAGCAACCAGAGCCCCCCACCUACCUGUUUCACUUCUCCAGGGCCUCUGUGUAGGGCCAUCUCCCUCUGCCUCAGGCUGGCCCCACUUUGCCAAGGACUGCUUAUUCCCAGAACAUUUUUUAGCUGCAUCUCAACCACAAAGGUGCUCUCUGUAAGAGAACAAACCACCCCAGGCUGCCUUUUGCCACCUCCAUUUCAAAGUCAGUUGGCAUCUUAUGUUUCCCUGAAAAUAAUGAACAAUUUUUUUUUUCUCAUCCAGCAAGAAAGUUCUGCUUUUUAUUUUUCACCUAGGUUUAUGCCCCACCCUCGCCUUUUCAGAAGGAAAUCGAAUGCAAGUAUCUGUGUUGUAAACUAGCUUCCUACACUGUCCAGGCCCAGACGUGGACCCAGCCUUGCUGAGAAGAGGACUUUUCUCCUGGGUGUGUGCUCAGCUGCUGGAGGAGAGAAAGGCCUAUUGUUCCUCGUGUGCCCGGGACACUCUGCCAGGCGACACGCUGGGUGUUCUUCCUGGGAGACGCUUCCUUGGACAUGAUGUCACUGAUGCUUGCCUCAGCCCUGAAGUGGAACUGUCCUUAUUUUCAGAUGAAGAACUUGGGGUCCAAGAGGACAUGUGCAGCUGAACUGGGCCUUUCUUAUUCAAGAUUUGCGAAGGAUAGUCAAGAUCCUGCUUCAGUCACUGACAUUUCAAAAG